rnacentral:rRNA from 1 species
AGGAUGAACGCUGGCGGCGUGCCUAAUACAUGCAAGUCGAACGAGGUGCUUUUGUAGCAAUACAUAAAGUAUCCUAGUGGCGAACGGGUGAGUAACGCGUUGGUGACCUACCCCAAAGUGUGGGAUAACAGUCCGAAAGGAUUGCUAAUACCGCAUGUGGUCCUCAGGUUUAGAAACUGAUGACUAAAGGAGCAAUUCGCUUUGGGAGGGACCUGCGUCCCAUCAGCUAGUUGGUGAGGUAAUGGCUCACCAAGGCUACGGACGGGUAGGGGACCUGGAGGAGGGUCGACCCCCACAAGU